rnacentral:piRNA from 1 species
CACGGAGCAACAAAGGAUUUUUGU